rnacentral:rRNA from 1 species
AACGAACGCUGGCGGCAUGCCUAACACAUGCAAGUCGAACGAAGUCUUCGGACUUAGUGGCGCACGGGUGCGUAACGCGUGGGAAUCUGCCCUUGGGUGCGGAAUAACUUCUCGAAAGGGAUGCUAAUACCGCAUAAUGUCGUAAGACCAAAGAUUUAUCGCCCAAGGAUGAGCCCGCGUAAGAUUAGCUAGUUGGUGGGGUAAAAGCCUACCAAGGCGACGAUCUUUAGCUGGUCUGAGAGGAUGAUCAGCCACACUGGGACUGAGACACGGCCCAGACUCCUACGGGAGGCAGCAGUGGGAAUAUUGGACAAUGGGCGAAAGCCUGAUCCAGCAAUGCCGCGUGAGUGAUGAAGGCCCUAGGGUUGUAAAGCUCUUUUACCAGGGAUGAUAAUGACAGUACCUGGAGAAUAAGGAUCGGCUAACUCCGUGCCAGCAGCCGCGGUAAU